rnacentral:RNase_P_RNA from 1 species
AGCUAUCGUUCACGCCUUGGCGUGAGAGGAAAGUCCGGACAGCACAGAGCAACGUACCGGUGAAGAGCCGGGUCCUGCAUUUUUUGCGGGAACAGAAAGUGCCACAGAAAAUAACCGCCUUGCUGCAAAGCAGGGUAAGGGUGAAAAAGUAGGGUAAGAGCCUACGGGUUAUAGCAGUAAUGUUAUAGCGGGGUAAACCUUUCGUGCUGAAAUGCCACAUAAACCGUCGCUUGAGGGCUGCUCGCCCGAUGACGGAGGGUAGGCAGAUUGAUCCCGAAGGGUAACCUUCGGGACAGAUAAAUGAUAGCUCUCGACAAAAUC